UUUGUCACACGCAUGUAGUUUACAUGCACCUGACUACUCUCAAGCUUUCCACCUAGAUGUUGAUGAAAAGGACGGCAUUGUAAAUGCAAUUUUUGCAGGCUCUCAGAACACUUGGUUUGAGGCCUGCAUUCUUCAACUUCUUCUGUGAUGCAAAUCAUGGCCUGAUAAGCAUCCUGGGAUAGGCUAUCAGCAAUUGCAAUUUCACAACCAGGCCACUCAGUGAAUGCAUCUGUUUUUUUCCACAUCUGGGUUUACAGUGAAGAUGAUGAACCAGGACCUGCCAGGACCAGCCAGCCAGAGGGGCGGAAGAGAGGGAGACAAUCUGCUGCUGCACAAUGCAGUGAAGAUGAUGAACCAGGACCAGCCAGCCAGAGGGGAGGAAGAGAGGGAGACAAUCUGCUGCUGCUGCUGAACAAUGCAGUGAACCCGGACCUGCCGGUGAGGAGGACAGGUGGCAUAACAGAGAGGAAGAGGAUGUCCAGCCUGUCCCUCGUCGGUUCAUGCCAGCUAGAAAACCCGGCCCAGCAUUUGACACCACCCAGUCUUGGUCCCCACUUGGCCUUUUUCAACUGUUUUUUUCUGCUGCAGUUGUCAGAAAAAUUGUUCAAAACACAAACGCCAAUGCAGCCAGAAGACAAGCUGCUGGGGUGGUUUUCAAGUGGACCAUCCUGACAGUGAAGGACUUCUAUACAUUUUUGGCCAUUGUUAUUUUCACUGGCCUUGUGACAGUCCAUCACAGGUCAGAUUACUGGAGGAAACAAUGGCCAUAUAACUUCUCCUUGCCCAGGGAAAAGAUGACACGGGACCGGUUUGAGGCAAUUCUCUGGUCUCUUCAUCUCAGCAGCCCAGCAGAAGAUGAAGAAAAUGAGAAGAAGAGGAACUCACCGGCCUAUGACAGACUUUUCAAAAUCAAACCUUUGUACACUGAGAUGGUGGAUGCCUGCAAAGUGUACUUCCAGCCCUACCAGCAUGUGUCGAUUGAUGAGCGGAUGGUCGCCUCCAAAGCGCACAUCAGCCUGAAGCAGUACAUAAAGGAUAAACCGACAA